rnacentral:rRNA from 1 species
AGUGAACGCUGGCGGUAGGCCUAACACAUGCAAGUCGAACGGCAGCACAGUAAGAGCUUGCUCUUACGGGUGGCGAGUGGCGGACGGGUGAGGAAUACAUCGGAAUCUACUUUUUCGUGGGGGAUAACGUAGGGAAACUUACGCUAAUACCGCAUACGACCUACGGGUGAAAGCAGGGGAUCUUCGGACCUUGCGCGAUUGAAUGAGCCGAUGUCGGAUUAGCUAGUUGGCGGGGUAAAGGCCCACCAAGGCGACGAUCCGUAGCUGGUCUGAGAGGAUGAUCAGCCACACUGGAACUGAGACACGGUCCAGACUCCUACGGGAGGCAGCAGUGGGGAAUAUUGGACAAUGGGCGCAAGCCUGAUCCAGCCACGCCGCGUGGGUGAAGAAGGCCUUCGGGUUGUAAAGCCCUUUUGUUGGGAAAGAAAAGCAGCAGGUUAAACCCCCGCUGUUCUGACGGUACCCAAAGAAUAAGCACCGGCUAACUUCGUG